CCGCCAACUUUUUGAAGGGGAGCUGCAUCUCCCCUCCCUGGCUUGGUAAACUCCUCUAGAAGACAGGGAGCAGUGGCAGUCUUAAUGGCUGCCCUGAAGACUGGAAGCUGCCAGGACACAAAUUUUGUGCUGGAGAAUGGAAGUGGUGAGUGGCAUGUAACUGGAUAAAAGACUUUAAAUACUCUUUUUGAAAACCCCGAAAAUGCUGAAAGAAGGAGCCCUCAUUUGAAAGAGUGGUAGCAGCAAAUCAGAAACAAGAGGAAAAUAUAAGAUAAAGAAAGAACUGGAAAUAAAAAGAUUAUAUACAAUUAGAGACUAAAUUUGGAACAAUAUAUAGCAUUGGACAGUAAUCAGGAAUUAGAUAAAAUGCUGGACUUAUUUUGAACUGAUAAAAUUUCAUAUUAAUACUAUGGAAAAGUGAUUUAAAAUAAAGAAUUCUAAGAAGAAAGUGAUAUAGAGCACCACCUAAGGAUUUAAGAUUUCCUUCUUUUAUGUCUCUAUGGGAAACUAUUGGUUGUACAAACAA